rnacentral:tRNA from 1 species
AUAUAGCUCAGUGGUAGAGCACUUACCUCCCACAUGCAAGGCCCUGGGUUCAAUUCCCAGUAU